AGUGCAAGUCGAACGGGACUAUCAAGUGAUGUUUCGGACUGAACUUUUAGUUAGUGGCGGACGGGUGAGUAACGCGUGGACAACCUGCCUCUCACUGGGGGAUAGCAGCUGGAAACGGCUGGUAAUACCGCAUGCGUUCAAUGUGCCGCAUGACACAUUGAAGAAAGAUUUAUCGGUGAGAGAUGGGUCCGCGUCUGAUUAGCCAGUUGGCGGGGUAACGGCCCACCAAAGCGACGAUCAGUAGCCGGCCUGAGAGGGCGGACGGCCACAUUGGGACUGAGACACGGCCCAGACUCCUACGGGAGGCAGCAGUGGGGGAUAUUGCACAAUGGGCGCAAGCCUGAUGCAGCGACGCCCGCGUGAGUGAAGAAGUAUUUCGGUAUGUAAAGCUCUAUCAGCAGGGAAGAAAGGCCCGCAAGGGAGAUGACGGUACCUGACUAAGAAGCCCCGGCUAACUACGUGCCAGCAGCCGC
rnacentral:rRNA from 1 species